rnacentral:sRNA from 1 species
AACAGAUUUUACUUUAAGUCAUCAACAAAACUAACAACUUGGCCGGUCCUAAAGUUUUAUGGGUUUUAGUCAAUAAUAAAACAUAACCAAGUAUCGUUAAUUAUAUCAACUUGUUAAGAUUCUAGGCGAAGCUUAGAGUUCGCUGGUUCGAAUUAUUAAGACUCUAAACGAAGCUUAGAGUUCGCUGGUUCGAAUGAUGCUUGUGACGAAACUAAUAUUACAUGCUUUAAUUUCGAAUCUCGAAGGAUUAUGGAUUUCGGCGCAAAACCUCCUAGUAUUAAAAAA